rnacentral:piRNA from 2 species
UAUUUAUUGAGGGCCUACUAUGUGCCGUA